AACCAUUUCCGUUAAUGGUUGGUU
rnacentral:sRNA from 1 species